rnacentral:rRNA from 1 species
GACGUAGGGCGCGAGCGUGUCCGGAUUUAUUGGGCGUAAAGAGCUCGUAGGCGGCUUGUCGCGUCGACUGUGAAAUCCCGAGGCUCAACUUCGGGCUUGCAGUCGAUACGGGCAGGCUAGAGUUCGGUAGGGGAGACUGGAAUUCCUGGUGUAGCGGUGAAAUGCGCAGAUAUCAGGAGGAACACCGAUGGCGAAGGCAGGUCUCUGGGCCGAUACUGACGCUGAGGAGCGAAAGCGUGGGGAGCGAACAGG